AGGGUUUGAUUAUGGCUCAGGAUGAACGCUGGCGGCGUGCCUAACACAUGCAAGUCGAGCGAUUUACUUCGGUAAAGAGCGGCGGACGGGUGAGUAACGCGUGGGUAACCUGCCCUAUACACACGGAUAACGUACCGAAAGGUACGCUAAUACGAGAUAACAUAUUUUUAUCGCAUGGUAAGAAUAUCAAAGCUCCGGCGGUAUAGGAUGGACCCGCGUCUGAUUAGCUAGUUGGUAAGGUAACGGCUUACCAAGGCGACGAUCAGUAGCCGACCUGAGAGGGUGAUCGGCCACAUUGGAACUGAGACACGGUCCAA
rnacentral:rRNA from 1 species